UGAGGGGUCUCGUAAAUAAGAAACUAUAAUUGUUUUCUAUUUAUACUAAUAUUGUAAAUUUAUUUCUGUUAGUUAAUAUAUUAUUUGCUUAUAUAUAUUGUAUCUUCUGUAUCACAGAGUUCUGCUAAUGAGUUUUGAUAUUGAUUUUGAAGCUCCUAUUUCAUUGCUUUAAAGAAAUGAUUUUUGCAAUUUACUUUGUGUGUCACAAACUGUGUCAUACCUGUACACUAUAGGACACAUUGGUUUCCCUUUCUCCCUAAUCACAAAAUCAGAAGUCAAUAAAAAAAAAAACUCACGGAAAAGUUCACCAUAUAAUACUGUUUUGCACAUCCCAUUUUGUUUUUGGUAUGAAUUAUAUGUGUGAUCUUACUAGUAAAAAAAAUAGGCUUUGAAAGGGAUUAUCAUUUUGUGACCUAAUGGACUAGUACCUCUAGUUUUUUUUCAUUAUGCAUUUGGGGUCUGUAUUAUUCAACAUGAAUCUGCAAGGAAUAAAAUAAUAUUCAUUUUCAAAUGAGGUAAAUUUUGUGAACUCAAACAGUAAAUAAACCAAAAAUUAUAAAUAGUCAACAAUUGUGCUGUGAAAAUGAUAAGUUUUGUUGAAAAUGAGCAGAUUAGUAUCAAUAUUAAAUGAAGAGCAUUCAUCAUUGAAAGGGUUAUUUUUGUGCAAGGUGUUUUGCCAUUUUUAUUUCACUUGCAGCUGUAAAAAAGAUCAACGUGUAAGACAUUUUUAAUUGUUUAUUCAUCGUGAUAUGGCAAUUUUAUUUCACGUUCUUUUGUGCAGAUACCCCCCUUUACGGCCCUCAAUGCAAGCAUUUCACAUAUAAUAUUCCGGUAAAAAGCAUUUAAUUCAUUUAUAGUUUGGUGCCAUAUUUUGGUCCUAUAUUCUUUAUGGGAUUAUUAACCAUAUCAAAGUCACUGUGAUAAUUGACAUGUUAUUGUUUUUAUAAGCAAUAUUUGAUAUUAUAUUUUCUUUAUUACAAGUACUUUUGUUGUUAGAUUAGUAGUUAUCUAUUUACUCUCUUUAAUAUAUACAUAUAUGAUAUUUUUAUUGUACUUUAUACAUCUUUACAACUUUAUUAAUUUAAUAAA
rnacentral:lncRNA from 1 species